AUGAAAGUGGCCGUGGCCAGGACUGGCGAAGCUGCCGUCGGGGCGAGGGGCGCAGAGUGCGGCCGCGGCGGGUCUGGAGCCUGGAGCCUGGAGCCUGGAGCCUGGAACCCCGGCCGCAGCCAGCGCCGGGCGAGGUGGCAGCACGGCCUGGACUUCUCUGAACUGCAGGCAGGCCGGGGGCUGGACUGCAGGGAAUCAAGAAAAUGGACUCCCUUCUCCUGGGGACAUGAAUGCCAGCCACCAGCCAAGGUUCUCCAAGCUCUUCCAUUUGCCCCUCCAGAUCUGCUGCCAACCCUCUCCACCUGCUCUAUUCCCUGGGAGGCUGACCUGUAUGCUCUGCAUCAGCCCCUGCCUUGCCUCUGGCUUCUGACAUGUUUGGCCGAUGGCAAGUACUGGAAGGAGAUCAGCAGACACAGGAUUUUUUUUUUUCUUUUCAGGUGCCAGAGUUUGCAGUCUUUUGGAGGAAAAUGAUGUUUCAAGGAGGCUCGCUCACAUCAGCAAGGACGGACCUCUUCCUGCCCCAGUCUCUCACUCCAUCGAGCUGGAAGUGCCUUUUGUCAGGACCACUUGAGACCAUUGAGUGGAUCUGCUUUUGCCAAGAAAUUAAACCAGUGCCUUUCAAACCUGGCUGCACAUUACACUCAUCUGGGAUAUGGAUGUCUGGGCCUCAUCCUCAAAGAUACCGACUGAAUUGAUCUGGGUUAAAAAAAGAAAAAAAAUGAAGUCUUUGUUUGUUACUGAAGGAUAAGUACAUACAAAGAAAGAAAGAAAGAAAAAAAGAAGAGAGGGAAGGAGGGAGGAAAGAAAGAACAGUAAGUGCAAAGCUCAGUGAAUUUUCACAAAGUGCACUUACUUCGAGUAACCAGCAACCAGAUCAAGACACAGAACACUACCCCACAUGCCCCAAAGGGCAAUUGCCAUUCUCACCUCUAAUAGAGUACAUUAGUUUUGCCUGUUUGGAGGCCUUAUGUUGUUUUAAUGGAAUCAUAUAGUAUAUACUACGUACGAUUCGUGUCUGGCUUCUUCCACUCAACGUUGCGUUUGUGAGAUUCACCCAAGCUGUUGCUUAUAUUUGUAGUUCGUUCAUUCUCAUCGCUAUAGAGCAUUCCACCAUAUGGGUAGUCCUCAGUUUACCUGUCCACUCUAACAGUUGAUGGACGUUUGAGUGUUUGGAUUGUUGUCUUCAGUCUGGGGUUAUUACGACUACUGCUGCUUUGAGCACUCGAGUGGUGUCUGUGGGAGCACAUUCGUAUGCUAGUCUGUUGGGCACAAACUUAGACGUGGAAUCGCUGGGUGAGUACGGAUACAAGCAUGUUGAGCUUUCUUAUCUUAUGCCAAUAAUUUUCCAAAGUGACUGUACCAAAUUCACAUACCCUCCAGCUAUGUGUGACGGUUCUGACUGUUUCACAUCUUCGCCAACACUUGCUGUUUUCUGUCUUUUUCAUGUUAGCUAUUCUGGUGGGUAUGUAAUGGUAUCACAAUGUGGUUUUCAUUUGCAUGUCCCUGAUGACUAAUAUAGUGGAACACAUUUUCAUGUGGAUUAGCCAUUUAGAUCCUCUCUUUGCAAAGUGUCUGUGGAAGUAUUUGGACAUGAGUAUUUUUAAGAAGCUCCCUAGGUGGCUCUAAUGCACAGCCAAAGUUGAAAAGCAUUGAACUAAACCGCAAGUCAGUAUCUGCUGCUCUGUUUCUUGAAGACGUGCCCUUGAAUUUAGAGUAUUUUGGCUCUGAGGACCUCAUGGACCUGGGGAAAGAUAACCUUCACCCCCCACACACCAAGAUGAGCCUACCAGGAAGAAGCAAGAGAUUGGAGCUGGAGUUCUGGCAGUUAAGCAUCUUCGGGAAUGUGGCCUCCAGUUCAGAAGGGUCCGGGGAAGGCCUGUGGUAUCCACAGCUGCCACAGACAUUUCCUGACCACAAAAAUGACCCUUGCUGGUCCCCUUGGAGCCCCAGGCAAUCAUGUGGAGGAAGUGGAGGGGCCCCAUGCCAGGUACUUCCCAGUUUCUAGGCCAGAAUGAACGGGACAUAGCUCAUGUGGGGCUUGUGGUCAGGCUGGGGACAGUGGAGCAUGUGUUCCGGGGACCUGGGUGGGGUUGAGGGAGGCCUGCUGUCUGUCGCCUCUCUCCUGGGUGAAAGGGCAGCUGGUGGGGCUCUCCUACAUGGGUGCAGGCCCGGCCAGCUCUUGAAUUCUGGUGAGUUUGCAUACAGGUCCCAGUUGUUGUUUCCUCACCUAUAACCGUCUCCUCUAUCUUCUGCUCUAUCUUCUGGAGGCCCUGCUCCAGGACCUUCCCUGGCCACCCCACCCCUACUUGACCUCUUACUCUUCUGAACCUCUGUAGCACUCAGACUGAGCGCAUACAGUGUGAGUCCUGAUGACACACUACCUUUUUAUCACCAGUAUUCAUCUCAUCCUGCAACUUCAUCCCGGGGACUACUGGGUCCUCCUGUGUGGCAUUUGGUAACUCGGUGACAAUAUCCGCCAACUUGAGAAGGAAGAUGCAAUAAAAAUACAAAUGACACACAGAGUCAGCAUUUUCCUUCCCUCAGACUUGAACUGUGCAGGCGUCAAGCAGAGCUGCGCUGUGUGGGCUCCUUGUGGGCAUGUGUGCCACACAUCUGAUAGGUGAGGAGUUCUGUGCAGUGAGUCUUGGACCACCAGUGGGAGGCUAGCAUGCUGGCACCUGACUCUGUGUGCAUAAAGACCCCUCAGCGGGGCUCUGAGCACCCUGAUGGAGUCCGUUUACCACAGUGCUCAGAAGCCAGGGGUGAGGGGGUCCGUGCCUAUCCCAUGUGCUCUUUGAAAAAAAGCCUGGUCCACCUUCUGCUGACUGAAGUCCUGUCAGCUGUGAGACCUUAGAUGAGGGAUGAGGACACAUGUGGGCAAAGUUGACAUUUUGGAGGCUGGUGAGCACAGAGCCAACUCUGGACUCAGGCCCUUCUUAGAAGUUGCUCUAAGUUGACAUUCAUGUCUGAUAGCCUAAGUGCAGACAUGAUGUUGGGGUUCCCUUGAUUGGCCCUAAUGGUACCUGAACUAACCAGCG
ensembl:lncRNA